UACGUAGGUGGCAAGCGUUGUCCGGAAUUAUUGGGCGUAAAGCGCGCGCAGGCGGCCUCUUAAGUCUGAUGGGCGAGCCCCCGGCUCAACCGGGGAGGGCCAUUGGAAACUGGGAGGCUUGAGUAUAGGAGAGAAGAGUGGAAUUCCACGUGUAGCGGUGAAAUGCGUAGAGAUGUGGGGGAACACCAGUGGCGAAGGCGACUCUGUGGCCUAUAACUGACGCUGAGGUACGAAAGCAUGGGGAGCAAACAGG
rnacentral:misc_RNA from 1 species